rnacentral:ribozyme from 1 species
AAAAUUUUGUUUUUGUUUAGUAAUAUAAAAUUACACAUUCCGGUGUAGCUCAGCGGUAGAGCGACUCCCUGUGAAAUAAGUAUUGCAGCCUUCCACAGCAAUGUGGAAUGGAAAAACGAGGUGAAUUCGGGGAAGUCCCGACGAUGUCGCGGAUAAUCCCGAGCCAAGCCACGAUUUUAAAAAAAUCGCGGGAAGGUGUAGAGACUAUCCUUUUUAGGAGUAGUCCCAUCAAACGGGACGAAGCGCCUCGCACCCUUUAAGGGUGAUGAUAUAGUCCACCCCCAAUGGCAACAUAGGG